ACGGUGAGGGAUGAAAGCUGGGGGAGCAAACCGGAUUAGAUACCCGGGUAGUCCCAGCUGUAAACUAUGCAAACUCAGUGAUGCAUUGGCUUGUGGCCAAUGCAGUGCUGCAGGGAAGCCGUUAAGUUUGCCGCCUGGGAAGUACGUACGCAAGUAUGAAACUUAAAGGAAUUGGCGGGGGAGCACCACAAGGGGUGAAGCCUGCGGUUCAAUUGGAGUCAACGCCG
rnacentral:rRNA from 1 species